rnacentral:lncRNA from 1 species
AGUGCUAUUUCAGACUCCUUUCGUACUGUCAAAUCUCACUCAACUUUUAGCAUCUAUUUCAAUUGGCAUCUCUUCCAAGAAGAUUUUUCUAAUUUCCUCAAGUGAUGUGUUAUCUCCCCUAUAAUUGAACCCCAUUUUGAUAUUUGUGUCCCUUUUUAGCUUUUUUUUUAACUUGUUUUCUAUUAGAGGUGUUAGUGUCCUACUCAUCUUGCUUUUCCUACAGCUAGUAAGUGGACAUCCAGGAGGUACAAGGAUAUAUCCCAGACCUGGCCAGUCAUGCUACCAUUUCCCAUAAUAAUCUCCUUAAGAAGUGAGCACCAGACCCAAGUCAUUCAGAUACUACCUGUAAGAUAUAGGCACUGAGGGAAAGAGUCUGGUUUUUCUUUUAGAUGAAGAGCUAUAAGAAUGGAAUCGAGACUAGGAGAGGAACAUCCAAAGGAGAGAAAAUGACUGCAGUGGGAGAGAACAAGAGCUACGAUCAAAAAGAGGAGAGACAAGCAGCACUGAGGAAGACAGAAGGGUAAGAAGAGGUAAGAAUUCUAUCAACACUGAGAUACUGAGACCUGGAUCUGUCCUGUUUUGGAAGUAAUUGAUUCUCUCUCUCUUUUUUUUUUCUUCUCAAGCUCAAGUGAGUUG